AACUUUUAACAACGGAUCUCUUGGCUCCAGCAUCGAUGAAGAACGCAGCGAAACGCGAUAUGUAAUGUGAAUUGCAGAAUUCAGUGAAUCAUCGAAUCUUUGAACGCACAUGGCGCCUUCCAGUAUCCUGGGAGGCAUGCCUGUCCGAGCGUCGUUUCAACCCUCG
rnacentral:rRNA from 1 species